UGGGGAAUAUUGCACAAUGGGCGCAAGCCUGAUGCAGCCAUGCCGCGUGUGUGAAGAAGGCCUUCGGGUUGUAAAGCACUUUCAGCGGGGAGGAAGGCGGUGAGGUUAAUAACCUCACCGAUUGACGUUACCCGCAGAAGAAGCACCGGCUAACUCCGUGCCAGCAGCCGCGGUAAUACGGAGGGUGCAAGCGUUAAUCGGAAUUACUGGGCGUAAAGCGCACGCAGGCGGUCUGUCAAGUCGGAUGUGAAAUCCCCGGGCUCAACCUGGGAACUGCAUUCGAAACUGGCAAGCUUGAGUCUCGUAGAGGGGGGUAGAAUUCCAGGUGUAGCGGUGAAAUGCGUAGAGAUCUGGAGGAAUACCGGUGGCGAAGGCGGCCCCCUGGACGAAGACUGACGCUCAGGUGCGAAAGCGUGGGGAGCAAACAGG
rnacentral:rRNA from 1 species